CCUACGGGUGGCAGCAGUGAGGAAUAUUGGUCAAUGGACGAGAGUCUGAACCAGCCAAGUAGCGUGAAGGAUGACUGCCCUAUGGGUUGUAAACCUCUUUUAUAUGGGAAUAAAAUGUUCCACGUGUGGGAUUUUGUAGGUACCAUAUGAAUAAGGAUCGGCUAACUCCGUGCCAGCAGCCGCGGUAAUACGGAGGCUCCGAGCGUUAUCCGGAUUUAUUGGGUUUAAAGGGAGCGUAGGUGGGUUGUUAAGUCAGUUGUGAAAGUUUGCGGCUCAACCGUAAAAUUGCAGUUGAAACUGGCAGUCUUGAGUGCACGAGAGGUGGGCGGAAUUCGUGGUGUAGCGGUGAAAUGCUUAGAUAUCACGAAGAACUCCGAUUGCGAAGGCAGCUCACUGGACUGCAACUGACGCUGAGGCUCGAAAGUGUGGGUAUCGAACAGGAUUAGAUACCCCAGUAGUC
rnacentral:rRNA from 1 species